GCGGGCAUGGCGAAAUUGGUAGACGCAAGGGACUUAAAAUCCCUCGACCCUAGGUCGUGCCGGUUCAAGUCCGGCUGCCCGCACCA
rnacentral:tRNA from 1 species